rnacentral:rRNA from 1 species
GACGAACGCUGGCGGCGUGCUUAACACAUGCAAGUCGAACGGAAAGGCCCUGCUUUUGUGGGUUGCUCGAGUGGCGAACGGGUGUGUAACACGUGAGUAACCUGCCCUUGUCUUUGGGAUAACUUCAGGAAACUGGGGCUAAUACCGGAUAGGAUCUCCUGCUGCAUGGUGGGGGUUGGAAAGAUUCGGCGGUUGUGGAUGUACUCGCGGCUUAUCCGCUUGUUGGUGGAGUAGUGGCUUACAAAGGCUUUGAAGGGUAGCCGGCCUGAGAGGGGGACCGGCGACAAUGGGACUGCGAUAGGGCCCAGACUCGUACGGGAGGCAGCAGGGGGGAAUAUGGCGCAGUGGGGGGAAGCCUGAUGCGGCAGUGCCGCGUGCGGGAUGACGGGUUUCGGGUUGUGAACCGCUUUCGCCUGUGACGAAGCGUGAGUGACGGUAAUGAGUAAAGAAGCACCGGCUAACUACGUG